AUGCCCUGUAUGCCAGAUGGCCAGUCCACCCCUGCUCGGGGGGCAGAGGAGGUAGAGGAGGACGGGGCUCCAGAGACUUCACUGUCAGGGGCAGGAGAUGAUGAGGAGCUUGAGGAGGCAGCAGCAGGGCCAUCGCACAAUACAGACCAGCCCAGCAGUGAGUCAGACCCAGAGGACGCUGAUGCUGCUCCUGCUCCUGCUCCUGCCCCUGUCCCUGUCCCUGCCGCUGGCCCUUCCUGUGUACCUGUCCCUGAGGCUGGCCCUGCCCCAAGACCACAGAGCGGGACGAAGAGGAAGAGAGCCAGGGUACCAGAGGGGAACACAAAUAUGCAGGGAGCCAUCCUCCAGGCCCUGCAGAGGCAAAAUGCUGUGCCUACCCCUACCCCGCUCUCUGGGAAUGAGCACUUUGUCAUGGGCCUAGUUCCUUCCCUGGAGAGAUUGCCACCUGAAGCACUGGAGUACGUUAAAUUCAAAAUUCGUAAGGUCAUAUUUGACAAUUUCACCCUUAAUUUGGAACCUUUUUAA
rnacentral:lncRNA from 1 species